AUAAGCAACAGGGAUUGCCCCAGUAACGGCGAGUGAAGCGGCAACAGCUCAAAUUUGAAAUCUGGCUCUCGGGCCCGAGUUGUAAUUUGUAGAGGAUGCUUUUGGUGAGGUGCCUUCCGAGUUCCCUGGAACGGGACGCCAUAGAGGGUGAGAGCCCCGUCUGGUUGGACGCCGAACCUCUGUAAAGCUCCUUCGACGAGUCGAGUAGUUUGGGAAUGCUGCUCUAAAUGGGAGGUAUAUGUCUUCUAAAGCUAAAUACCGGCCAGAGACCGAUAGCGCACAAGUAGAGUGAUCGAAAGAUGAAAAGAACUUUGAAAAGAGAGUUAAACAGUACGUGAAAUUGUUGAAAGGGAAGCGCUUGUGACCAGACUUGGGCUUGGUUGAUCAUCCGGGGUUCUCCCCGGUGCACUCUUCCGGCCCAGGCCAGCAUCAGUUCGCCCUGGGGGACAAAGGCAUCGGGAACGUGGCUCUCUCCGGGGAGUGUUAUAGCCCGUUGCGUAAUACCCUGCGGCGGACUGAGGUUCGCGCAUUCGCAAGGAUGCUGGCGUAAUGGUCAUCAGUGACCCGUCUUGAAACACGGACCAAGGAGUCGUCUUCGUAUGCGAGUGUUCGGGUGUCAAACCCCUACCCGAAAUGAAAGUGAACGCAAGUGAGAGCUUCGGCGCAUCAACGACCGAUCCUGAUGUUAUCGGAUGGAUUUGAGUAAGAGGCUAACGGGGCCGGACCCCAAAGAAAGGGGAACUAUGCCUGUGUAAGGGGGAAACCCAAAGAAACUCUUGGGGGAAGCUCCCAACCGGUUCUUACAGGCAAAUCGAUCGGCCAAAAUGGGGCUGGGGGGCCAAAAAAUAAACGAACCUCCCCGGACUGGUUCCAACCACCU
rnacentral:rRNA from 1 species